GGGGGGGGGGGGGGGGGGGGGGAGCGGAGGGGGGGCGGGGGGGUGGGGGGGGGUUGCGCCUGGAUUGAGCGGCGUACGGGGGAGUAAUGCGUAGGAAUCUGGCUGGUGGUGGGGGCUAACGUCCGGAAACGGGAGCUAAUACCGCAUCCGUCCUGAGGGAGAGAGUUGGGUAUCUUCGGACCUCCCGCUAUCAGAUGAGCCUGGGUCGGAUUAGCUAGGUGGUGGGGUAAAGGCCUACCGAGGCGACGAUCCGUACCUGGUCUCAGAGGAGGAUCAGUCACACUGGAACUGAGACACGGUCCAGACUCCUACGGGAGGCAGCAGUGGGGAAUAUUGGACAAUGGGCGAAAGCCUGAUCCAGCCAUGCCGCGUGUGUGAAGAAGGUCUUCGGAUUGUAAAGCACUUUAAGUUGGGAGGAAGGGCAGUAAGUUAAUACCUUGCUGUUUUGACGUUACCAACAGAAUAAGCACCGGCUAACUUCGUG
rnacentral:rRNA from 1 species